UACAGAGGAGCCAAGCGUUGUCCGGAUUGACUGGGCGUAAAGCGCACGCAGGCGGUCGUGCGCGUGGGGUGUGAAAUCUGGCCGCUUAACGGCCAGGCGCCAUCCCAUACGGCACGACUGGAGCGAUGCAGAGGUCGGUGGAAUUGCCGGUGUAGUGGUGAAAUGCGUAGAUACCGGGAGGAACAUCCGCGGCGAAGGCGGCCCGCUGGGCCAUCCCGUGACGCUGAGGCGCGAAGGCCAGGGGAGCGAACGGG
rnacentral:rRNA from 1 species